CGCCGGCCGAGCGCAGCCCUCGGCGCGCACGGAAGACGGGGAGAGCGGAGGAGGGAAGGAAGGAGGCCGAGCACCCGGGAAGGGCCGCGGCGUGAGACGGGUCUCCUCCUCGGUCUCUCGCCAGCGCCUUUGGGUGGGGCCUGUUGGGGGCCGCCGCCAGGGCCACCUUCCGUAGUCACGCCGGGAGAGGAUAAGUGCUCAUCCCUUAGGUUGGCCCGGAGGCUGCCCAGAGGACAGGACGAACCUGGAGUAGAAGAGGAUUUCCUAGAAGCCCGAGUACCCGACCCACAGUGGGCGCGCCCAUAUGCGAAUAGGUGGGCGGGGCCCUCGUGGUGGUAAACGGGGGCGGGGUCCAAGAUGUAAAUAAACCCUGGGCGAAGAUCUUUUAUGGGCAUUAGGGCCAGGGUACAGGAUGCCAGGUAUUUUUGUUUAACCAGUUAAGAAUAGUGUUAAUAAUUCAUGCUCUGCAUGAUCCUUGUAAAGAAUAAAAGAUAAGCGCCUAGUACGAUGCCCCUUAAUUGCUGCGUUGUCUUCUCUUCCCUUCAUUUCUCCGCUGUUCAGGUGAUAAAUUAAGUCCCAACUUUGCACAUCUGCACCACACAGCCCUAAGCUGCUGGCUGCCCAAAGCUGAUGGGGACGUAACUGCACUUGGAAAUUAAGGCUUCCCUGAGGAGGGUGCCUUCAGAUGGACCUGAGAAAAUAAUUGGCUGAGUCUUAACAGGUUUUUCAGAUUUCCUUUCAAAAUCUUCAUUUUCACCAUCUCUCUGCUCAAACACUGAAGUACUUUUCUCAUAGAAAGGUUAUGAUCAAGAACAUGAAUGAUGGCGUUGACAAACUGUAGUUGUGAAUGCAGCUCUGUUCCAUCUGAUCUUUAUUGUAAUUCCUGAAGGACAAGGACAGCAUCUUGUUCUCAGUUGUCUUCGCACAACCGAAGAUAAAAAAAAAACAAUUUUGUCUUCAAAAUUGAAAUAGAGCACUUGUAUAACAGAACAAUGCUAUAUUUGUGUCAUAAGUCUGCAAGCAUUCUACACAGCAUUACCACCCUUCCAGUUUAUAAUUGCCCUCAAUACAACUAUUGAGUAUCUUGUCCAAUCUCUGUAUUUGUUCAUCUUGGUAAAAUUAAGUCCCAGUGAGUGUUACUACAUCUUAAAGAUCCAGUUUAUUGCAACUGAAAAGACAUUAAAUGAGAUCACGUAAAUAAAAGCUGUGGAGAACAAAUGUGUGGAGUUUCUUUUAUUGAAAAUGAUAAUAAAGAAAUCCAGCACCCCUUGGAUAUUUAUCUCAAUACAAUGAAACUGCAUGUUUUAAAUGAACUAAUGUUGAAGAUGUGGACACCUGCCUCUAUAUUCAUACAUCACCCUUAUUUGCAUGCUAGUUUUUAUUAAAAAUAAAAAUAUAACAUCUAAUUGGAAAUGUUGGGAGACAGAAUAAAAUAUAUACAAGAAAAAAUUAAAUUCAGCAAGUGUUU